CGUGUAGGCGGCCAGGUAGGUCUGCUGUGAAAACUCGAGGCUCAACCUCGAGACGUCGGCGGAAACCAUCUGGCUAGAGUCCGGAAGAGGAGAGUGGAAUUCCUGGUGUAGCGGUGAAAUGCGCAGAUAUCAGGAAGAACACCCGUGGCGAAGGCGGCUCUCUGGGACGGUACUGACGCUGAGACGCGAAAGCGUGGGAGCGAACA
rnacentral:rRNA from 1 species